UUGAACGCUGGCGGCAUGCCUUACACAUGCAAGUCGAACGGUAACGGGCCUUCGGGUGCCGACGAGUGGCGAACGGGUGAGUAAUACAUCGGAACGUGCCCGAUCGUGGGGGAUAACGAGGCGAAAGCUUUGCUAAUACCGCAUACGAUCUACGGAUGAAAGCAGGGGACCGCAAGGCCUUGCGUGGACGGAGCGGCCGAUGGCAGAGUAGGUAGUUGGUGGGAUAAAAGCUUACCAAGCCGACGAUCUGUAGCUGGUCUGAGAGGAUGAUCAGCCACACUGGGACUGAGACACGGCCCAGACUCCUACGGGAGGCAGCAGUGGGGAAUUUUGGACAAUGGGCGCAAGCCUGAUCCAGCCAUGCCGCGUGCAGGAUGAAGGCCUUCGGGUUGUAAACUGCUUUUGUACGGAACGAAAAGCCUUCUUUUAAUACAGGAGGGUCAUGACGGUACCGUAAGAAUAAGCACCGGCUAACUACGUG
rnacentral:rRNA from 1 species